rnacentral:rRNA from 1 species
UAAAAGGUCCAGCCUGCCCAGUGACUUUGUUCAACGGCCGCGGUAUCCUAACCGUGCGAAGGUAGCGUAAUCACUUGUUCUUUAAAUGAGGACUAGUAUGAACGGCAUCACGAGGGUUAUACUGUCUCCUCCCUUUAAUCAGUGAAACUGAUCUUCCCGUGAAGAAGCGGGAAUAAAUCUAUAAGACGAGAAGACCCUAUGGAGCUUUAAACACACUACAAUUGCCUCACUCUAUGUCAAUCUCUGGAAAACCGCUUAUCCGGGCACUUUGAUAGCAAGUUUUAGGUUGGGGUGACCGCGGAGCAAAAAACAACCUCCACAGCGAACAGGGCUUUCCCUUAAACUCAGGAUUACGACCCUAAGAAUCAAUAAAUUGACACCCAUUGACCCAAUUUUUUUGACCAACGAACCAAGUUACCCUAGGGAUAACAGCGCAAUCUACUUCAAGAGCUCCUAUCGACAAGUGGGUUUACGACCUCGAUGUUGGAUCAGGGUACCCCAGUGGUGCAGCCGCUGCUAACGGUUCGUUUGUUCAACGAUUAAAACCC